UACGGAGGGUGCAAGCGUUGUCCGGAUUUAUUGGGUUUAAAGGGUGCGUAGGCGGCCUCUUAAGUCAGUGGUGAAAGCCCGCGGCUCAACCGCGGAACUGCCAUUGAUACUGCAGGGCUUGAGUACAGACGAGGUUGGCGGAAUUGAUUGUGUAGCGGUGAAAUGCAUAGAUACAAUCAAGAACACCGAUUGCGUAGGCAGCUAACUAGGCUGUAACUGACGCUGAGGCACGAAAGCAUGGGGAGCGAACAGG
rnacentral:rRNA from 1 species